GACCCUGAGGAAAUCUCUCUUUAAGCCCAGCUUCUUUGCAGAAUAUGAGAAAAUAAGCAAGAUCAUGAAUAGAAAACACUGGCAAGGGGUGCCUGGAUGG